rnacentral:rRNA from 1 species
GUACACUCCUACGGGAGGCAGCAGUGGGGAAUAUUGCACAAUGGGCGCAAGCCUGAUGCAGCCAUGCCGCGUGUGUGAAGAAGGCCUUCGGGUUGUAAAGCACUUUCAGCGGGGAGGAAGGCAAUGCGGUUAAUAACCGUGUUGAUUGACGUUACCCGCAGAAGAAGCACCGGCUAACUCCGUGCCAGCAGCCGCGGUAAUACGGAGGGUGCAAGCGUUAAUCGGAAUUACUGGGCGUAAAGCGCACGCAGGCGGUCUGUCAAGUCGGAUGUGAAAUCCCCGGGCUCAACCUGGGAACUGCAUUCGAAACUGGCAGGCUUGAGUCUUGUAGAGGGGGGUAGAAUUCCAGGUGUAGCGGUGAAAUGCGUAGAGAUCUGGAGGAAUACCGGUGGCGAAGGCGGCCCCCUGGACAAAGACUGACGCUCAGGUGCGAAAGCGUGGGGAGCAAACAGGAUUAGAAACCCCUGUAGUCCCAUG